CCUACGGGUGGCAGCAGUGGGGAAUAUUGGGCAAUGGGCGCAAGCCUGACCCAGCGACGCCGCGUGAGGGAAGACGGUCUUCGGAUUGUAAACCUCUUUCAGCAGGGAAGACAAAAGGACGGUACCUGCAGAAGAAGCCACGGCUAACUACGUGCCAGCAGCCGCGGUAAUACGUAGGUGGCAAGCGUUGUCCGGAUUUACUGGGUGUAAAGGGCGUGUAGCCGGGCUGACAAGUCAGAUGUGAAAUCCGGGGGCUCAACCCCCGAACUGCAUUUGAAACUGUUGGUCUUGAGUAUCGGAGAGGCAGGCGGAAUUCCUAGUGUAGCGGUGAAAUGCGUAGAUAUUAGGAGGAACACCAGUGGCGAAGGCGGCCUGCUGGACGACAACUGACGGUGAGGCGCGAAAGCGUGGGGAGCAAACAGGAUUAGAUACCCGAGUAGUC
rnacentral:rRNA from 1 species